ACCAAAAGGAAAAACGCUUCUCAGAUCCCGAAACGUGACGCGGGCUGGUCGCUGGACAGAAACGUCGUCGAAGAAUGUGCUAGUAAAAGCAAGAAGAUCAAACCAAAGAAAACUGUGAAAAAGCACGCAUCGUCCGUGUUAAUAACUGAUACGUUGCAGGACAGUGACACUGACCUUGAUGAAGAAGACAAAACUAAAAGUACGACAACCAAGUCGAAGAAAGAGACACCUGAUUGUAAGCCAGGCUGGUUUUCAAACUGGGGUGACGAAGGACAUGUUGAAGCCCAGCGUCGAGCAUCCGCUGCCAACUCUCUGUCGUCCGUGCUGAUACGUCGCGUCCCAGGCGGCUACGUGCGUCGCACAGCUUCGUUAACCGGUGAUCUUUUUAUUGAUCUUAAACUGUAUAACGUAGUAGAUAUUCAAAACGUUCCAUCUGAAGCCCGUUGGGAGAAAGCGCUGGUUAAUUUUAAAUAUCGUGUGGAUUCCGUUUCGGAUAUAGUAGAUGGAAUAAAUAAGAUUCUAAAGCGUUGUAAGGACGACUUUACAGAUGAAGGAACCUUUUUCCCAGAUAAAAAAAGC